GUGCUCAGAGAGCAGCAGCUCCUGUGAGGCACAGCCCUGGCUGGCACCUGCAGCACCUGCUGAAAGGAAGGACAAUAUUGCUUAGGGAUGACUCACAGGAACCUUAAACCUACUCUGUUACAAGCAGGAGUUGCAGCUUCCUGAGGCAGACAAACAUGAUCCCUGUGUACCAAGUUCCACCUCAGGCUUUUGGCCUUUUCUGAGCACCUGGCAAUGCCCCAAGCCUGUGUCUCAUUCUGGGGUGCACUGGCCUAUCUCUGCUUCACCUGAGUGUGUUUUGCUUAAGCAGUGCUGUUCCUCACAACAGUGGGUUUUGCUGGCUUACAGAACAAACCUGCACAGGAGAGAGGAGGAGUGAGAGGUAAAGUGAAUCUGAGAGCUUUGGUCACUGUUCUGGAUUUUUGUUUGCCAUUAGCAAUUUCGGAAAGAUGCUCAAGGGCUGGCAGGGAGAUUUUGCUCCCCAGGAAUGAGGCAUGAGAGAUCUUCCUUUGAAGUCUUUGGGCAGGAAGAAAGCAAGUCUAUCCUUCUGCCUCCUGUUUUGUUUGUGGGGUGAAAUGUGAUCCAGAGUGACCAGAGACAGAGACAGGUGGGCAGUGUCAGAGGUCCAAAAGAAGAGGCUAAUAAAAAAUCAGAUCCUAAGUCUGAAAUGUUUUUUACACAUGUGCCAAGCUUUAUAAAAAGCCUGUCCUUCAUUAGCUAUUUUAAAACACAUUAGAAAAAUGAAGUGACUCUCAUCUGCCAGUUGGUGAGUUUAAUUCUUUCUGUAUACAAGCAAUUUCACUGAUUUAAGGUAGUGCCAAAGAGUAUUUGAGAUUUUAGUGGAACCGAUGUGUCUCUUUGUGUCCUAUUGAAAGAAUUAUGAAUACUUGAAUGAGCAAAUAAUGCAAAGGACUGAAGUUGUCAUGGUAUUUAACACAAGAAAGGAGACCUAGUUACAAUAUGGGUUUUUUGCAUACCUGGUCUGUCACUGAACAGCAAAUAUGUACAGAACAAAUUGAUUU